UGAGGAAUUUUGCGCAAUGGGAGCAAUCCUGACGCAGCAACGCCGCGUGGGUGAAGAAGGCCUCCGGGUCGUAAAGCCCUGUCAGGUGGGAAGAAGGGUCCUAUCAGGAAAGGGGUGGGAUUUGACGGUACCACCAGAGGAAGCACCGGCUAACUCCGUGCCAGCAGCCGCGGUAAUACGGAGGGUGCGAGCGUUAUUCGGAAUUACUGGGCGUAAAGCGCGUGUAGGCGGGGGAGCAAGUCUGAUGUGAAAGCCCCGGGCUAACCCGGGAAGUGCAUUGGAAACUGUUUUUCUUGAGUACUGGAGAGGAAGGGGGAAUUCCCGGUGUAGAGGUGAAAUUCGUAGAGAUCGGGAGGAAUACCAGUGGCGAAGGCGCCCUUCUGGACGGUUACUGACGCUGAGACGCGAAAGCGUGGGGAGCAAACA
rnacentral:rRNA from 1 species